rnacentral:misc_RNA from 1 species
GGAGCUUUCAGUGCAGAUAAGAUAUGACUAAACAAAGCUGGACGAAGCUGCAAUAUGCAGAAGAUUAAUCAAAGUAACACUGGAAAGGGGCAUUGAACAAAAAGGGGUUGAAGAGAUUGAGAAAGGAAAAUCAGAGGAAAUGAUACGAAUCUGGGGCCUCAUCUAUUCCGCUCGUGCUUCUCUUGGUGACAAAAUUUCCAGUCCCGACACAUUUAAUGAAAAUCUUGCCAUCAUCUAGUGCCAUACGACCUUUCCAAAGCUUUUUAGUCUUUUA